rnacentral:ncRNA from 22 species
ACCAUGCAUUAAGAGAGGCGUGGCGGCAUGAGCCAAGCGCCCGGCAACCUGACAACCAAGGUGCCAGCAUGUUUUGUGAACACGGUGUUUGCAAAACAGCGAUGCGCCCCGUAAGGGGAAAGUUGACCUACCGU